rnacentral:rRNA from 1 species
AUACGGAGGGUGCAAGCGUUAUUCGGAAUCACUGGGCGUAAAGGGUGCGUAGGCGGUUUGAUAAGUCUGAUGUGAAAUCCUAUGGCUCAACCAUAGAACUGCAUUGGAAACUGUCAGACUAGAAUACUGAAGGGGCAGAUGGAAUUAGUGGUGUAGGGGUAAAAUCCGUAGAUAUCACUAGGAAUACCGAAAGCGAAAGCGAUCUGCUGGGAAGUUAUUGACGCUGAGGCACGAAAGCGUGGGGAGAAAACGGGAUUAGAUACCCCAGUAGUCC